rnacentral:tRNA from 1 species
GCGACCUUCGUCUAUCGGUCAGGACAGUUGCCUUUCACGCAGCAGAGACGGGUUCGAUUCCCGUAGGUCGUG